GCCGCCCGCGCCCGACUGGACGGGCACCGGGCUUUUAAUCCGGACUGCAGGGGUUCGAGUCCUCUGGGCGGCA
rnacentral:tRNA from 1 species